rnacentral:rRNA from 1 species
UACGGGGGGGGGCAAGCGUUGUUCGGAAUUACUGGGCGUAAAGGGCUCGUAGGCGGCCAACUAAGUCAGACGUGAAAUCCCUCGGCUUAACCGGGGGAACUGCGUCUGAUACUGGAUGGCUUGAGUGUGGGAGAGGGAUGCGGAAUUCCAGGUGUAGCGGUGAAAUGCGUAGAUAUCUGGAGGAACACCGGUGGCGAAGGCGGCAUCCUGGACCAUUACUGACACUGAAAAGCGAAAGCCAGGGGAGCAAACGGG